GUAAUUUGAAGAGUCCAAAAUAGGACGAAACAGCUGUCCAGUAC
rnacentral:hammerhead_ribozyme from 1 species